AUGGGGAGACCUUGGCCACAGUCCAGCGAGAGGCGGUGGCCAGGCCCAGGCCACAGAGGAGGCAUUGAUGGCAAAAGAGGCGCCCAGAGGCUGCUGCAGCUGGGGCAACGUGGGCAUUACUGGGCUGGCAGGAGAAGAAGAAUGAUCCUCGGGCUCCAGGGCCCACGUCUGAGCAUCUGGGGUCAGCGAGGGAACCCCAGGCAUCCUUGCCUUGAGAGGCUUCCACGUGGCAGGCAGCAAAUAAACAUUAGAGUGGCCAGUGGCCAACUCUGCCCC
rnacentral:lncRNA from 1 species